rnacentral:sRNA from 1 species
CAAAUUUAUACCAAGAAUAAUUGACUUUCGUUCCACAGUGCAUUGUUUGACACCGAGAAUGACUUUGGUAGCUGCGGCCUGCUUGGACUUUCCGGUUUCUUACUCAUCUAUUGUGUUUACACAUAUGUAUACUGUAUGCACAUAUGUGUGUAGAAGUUUUAUGAUAACAAUACUCGUUUCACAUAUUAGAUAGCUGGCUGCGGCUUCAUGUCGCGACCUGUAUAAAAAUGGGUACGCCGCCGAUCGAGGGAAUCAGUUCUCUGCGGCAAUCGUUAGCGGCAACAUGACUCCGACAUGUUGGAUAUUCAGAAGACUUGCAUGCGGCACAAUAAAUUACUUAACGCGGAACAACUCAGAGCUGUGACGGACAUCUCGAAGGCUUAGCACGGAGGAUGGAGCUUUAAGGCGCUCUAAGCGCAAAACUAUUCGAUUUUGGUUGGUGUUCAGCUUUAAAAAAGUUAGCAGUCAUUGAUCAAGACGAUGGUGACAGCAAACAACAGGACCGGGCAUGACAAAAGUGCAAUUUACCAUAAGCAAUAUAUAUAUAUAUAUUUUCAUAUAAGUAGAUGAUUCUGUGUUCGCAAGGACUUUGCAUCUGAAAUGUACAUAUCAACUGCAAAUAAUGUUAUAUUUUAAAUUCAUUUAUACUUUAAUCCAU